AUGCUUUAAACUUAUGAGUAAGGAAAAUAAUGAUUCGGGGUGACGCCCAAAUCCAAAAAAAAAAAAAAAAAAACUUUUCUGACUGUGUGAGAUAGUAUCUCAUUGU